ensembl:lncRNA
GAUUGGAGGCCUUUGCACCUUCUACCAAAUUAUAGGGCAGAGUUCAAUUAAUUCACAGUGCUAAGUGGGGUCAUUUUUGCAGUACUAAUGGAAAUUAUAGCUCUUUUUAGACAUGGCAUUUCCAUAGUAACUGCACAAGAUCCCAACAAUACACAGAUCAUCGCAAAUACUGAAGUAGGAGUCGUUUACUUCUUAGAUGGUUGGCAGUAGAGAAUUUUUUAUUUGGAGGUUUUAUCUUCUACAUAUAAUGCCUUCCAUGCUGAAAAUAUUUAAUGCAAAGCUUGAGUUCAGUAUACAAAAUAGUGUCUAAAUAAUCUGCUAGAUGUUGUGGGUUUAACAACCGCAGCCCAGCAGACCUUUGAAAAGAGAUCUUGCUUCCUCUGUUUUGAACUCUCUCGGCCUCGUAGUAAAAAAGAAAUUUAGUCUAAGUUUCCUUCGUGGAGAAAUAGGCUGCAAAGGCUCGCGGAGGAAUUCGUACCAUCCACAGAUGACCUAAUGAGAAUUAGCACUUCUGCCAGAGCGCCCUUGUUUUCUAAGGUAUUGCUGCAGCCUGUUAUGAAAUACAGCUGGUGCCUGGUUUGCUAAACUUGCAGAUGGAUGCCUCUGGGCAAAAUUGUCUUCUUCAGUCUUGAUGAGAAAAUUUAAAUGCAAUUCACAUUCCAUAUUCAACGAUGACAUGACAAAAUAUUUAAAGGUCUUCUCUAAUAUGCCAGUGACUUACAAAAGACAUGACGUACAAUGACCUCCUUUGCCCUGCCCCCUUCUAAAACCUAAAAAAGAUGGAAAACAAUACAGCUGCUUCUCAUUAUUUCCACUUUGUCUUCAGUUGAGGGCUUGAGAGCCCAAAGCCCUGUGCUUUGGGAGUUCAAAAUCAUCAGGUUUGGGGCUUUUACUCCAGUUCCCACACCUGUGCUCUCAGAACCCAAAGGGUAAAAUGCUGUUUGGUCUCAGCAGUGGCAAAAAACACAGGUGGCCCUUGCUGACAUGAAAUUAGCAGAGGAUAUGCAGAGUGUGGCUACCAGGGGUCAAAAGUUAAAAAUACCCAUUACCUAUGGCCCAUUCUGCCAAAUAAAUCAAGCUCCAAUUUAACUGCAUCCUAACCUGCAGAUUGUAGAGAAGAAAAGAUAUGGAUUUGAAUUAGUAGAAAGUCUUGAGUUCAAACCCUCACUCUUUUAUUCAUUGAAUUUAUAUUGAAUUUUUACAUUAAACAUUAUUAUGCUCAAUUUACAUUGAAGCUUUAUCUUGCUGAGCCUUGUUGUCACAUAUUUUAAAUCCCUUUCCCACCAGGGUUUUGGAAGGAUUGAAUGUCAUAAUGUAUUGGCGGCACCUGAAACGUGCCUCCCGCAUCAGAGGCUUAAUAAACAGCUAGGCCCUCUGAACUUCUACAGUAGAUUGGGUAUCUAGACUUGCUUAUUAAGGAAGAAGAAGCUAUAGUUCCAUGGCAACAUCUAAUCAAGGCUUUUAUAGAAUCUCAGAGUUGGAAAAUUGUUCAGAUACAUCCUAGUACUUCCUGUUGAAUGAUUUGUCUCUGCUCGGCUCUGUCAAUUACUACUCAUUCCAGCCUCUCAGGAAACACGAGGUUUCUGGAUCAGAGACAAACUUGAUUACUCAGAGAACAUAUUUCAUCAGUCUCUCAUGCUCCAAUCCCCCAAAGGGCAAUGCAGUGGGGGCAGAAAUCACCUGUGUGUAUGUGGGGUUUGUACAAGAGAGCUUACACACCUGCUCCCGCCCUCCUCCAGAGAGGGAGAGGGACUUUUGCUUUUUAAUAUAAACAAAUACUCUUCGAGGGAUAAAGGGUGAAGGUCCCUAAAUGAAUUAUAUAAAUAGCUCCAAGGAUCUUUAUCUUUAACUCUCAAGGCUUCUUUGAAUUUCAAACAUCCCUUAAUCCAGGCACCAGCAAUGUUUGUUCAGGAAUCCUAAUCAUGUAGCAUUGUUCCUUGUAGCAGUUUCUCCUCACUCCUAUCCCACCAGCCAGACUGGAAAAUCUUAUCACUCAAAGGAAAUUGGUCAGUCAGAAGACUCUUACCUCAGCAGCGGGGAUUAAUUAUCCCUGGAAUAAAUAUCGUUAUGGUCAUACCUGAAAAUUUUAAAGCAACGCCUGAAAUGAUCAAAGUAUUUCCAACAGGAAUACAAAAGUAUCUAGGACCUAGCAAAAUUCAUAAUAUCUAUCAUCCAAUUAAAUAAUUGCCACACAAUAGAGAAAUAAAAAAAAAAAUCCUCAAUAAGAAGAAAAAUUAAAAAUUGAAACUGAUCCACACAUAAAUGUUUCAAUUAGCAUAUGAGCACUUGAAAAAAGCCUUUAUAGCUAUAUUCCAUAAGUUCAAAAAGCCAGAGGAAAAUGGAACAUUAUAAGCAUGGGAGACAUUAAAAAUUGCCCUGAUUGAAAUUCUAGAGGUGAAAACUAUAACACAAAAGAUGAAAAAUGUACUUGAUGGAAUUCAUAGCUGACUAAGCAUAGUGGACAAAAAGAUUAGUGAACUUGAAGACAUAAUAGGAACUAGUCAAAAUGAAAUAGAAAUAAAAGCCUCAUUAAAAAAAACACAAAAAACAAAUAAACAGAUCAUCAGUGAGCUAUGCAACAAUUUCAAGCAACCUACCAUAUGUGUGAUUGGAGCUGCUGGAUGAGAAAAAAGAGCAAGGAGAGUAAAGAAAAAAUAUUUGCAGAACGAAUGGCUGAAAAUGUCCCAAAUUUGAUGAAAAUUAUAAACUCUCAGAUCCAAGAUGCUCAAUAAACCCCAAGCACAAGAAACAAAGAAGAAAACUAUAACAAGGCAUAUAAUACAUAUCUUAAAAUCAGCAAUAAAGAAAAUAUCUUGAAAGCACCCAGAGUAAAUACACAUUUUAUCUACAGAGGAACAAAGAUGAAGAUGACAGCAGAUUUCUCUUGGAAACAAUACUAGUGACAAGACACUGGAGCAGCAUUCGUAAGGGACUGAAAGAAAAAAACUGACAACCUAGAAUUCUAUAUCCAGUGAACAUAUAUUUCAAAACAAAAGGUGAAACAAAGAUUUGUUGAGUCAUACAAAAGCUGAGAGAAUUUUUUCUUAUCAGAUCCACACUAUAAGAAAUGUUAAAAGAAGUCCUUUUGGCACAAAGAAAAUGAUAGCAGAUCUCUAAGCAAAGGAAUGCAGAGCACCAAAAAUGGUAAUAUGCAUGUAAAUAAAUACUACUUUUUUCUUUUUAUUUAUUUCUAUAGAAGAUAAUUGACUUUUUAAACAAACAAUGUAGUGUGUGAUUUAGAGCAGUAGUAAGUAAAGAAGAAGUAAAAUGUAUGACAAUAGCUCAAAGGUCAAGAAGAGAAAAGCGUUUUAAUUACAUUUUACUAUAGUCAGACUUAUCAAUUGUCUUGCAUAGUUUGUGCUUUUCAUCUUGUAUAAGAAAUCUUUCCUCACCAUUCCCAAAGACGUGAAAAUAUUCUUUUAUAUUUUCCUCUAACAAUAUUCCCAAUACCUUCAUAAUAAUCACUAUUUUCUGCUUAAACUAGUCAGUGAUGGUUCAACCAAUACAAAGUUCCGUGCAGGUGAGAGCUGUGAUAGCUUGCCUUCUUUGAAGAAUAAUCCUUCUCUACUUGUGGAAGUCAUCCUCUCAGAACUUCAGGAUUCCUCAGGAUGUGAGGAGUGAAGAAGAGGACAUGCCAGCCAGAUCAGUCACAUCAACCCUGGCAAUCGGAGGGCCGACAGGCACCACAACUGUAUCAUCCUCAAGUCCUUGUCAUGACUGGAGGUCAUCAAUCAAGAAAGAAAGUAGUUUAUGCCCAUGAGAGAGUUCUGGUUGCAUAAGAAGAAAAGAGAGAACAUCCAGCAAGAGUUCAGCUUUCCCAGUUCUGUCAGCCUAUGUUUGAGAAACCAUUUCCCGAACGAAAACAGAUAAAGGCCUGCUGUUUUCAAUGUCUGAGCAGCAGCUGCUUAAAUUUCCCCAGUCAAUAUAUUUCUGUCAUGAUUCAUCUUCUCUUUGAGGUCAAUUCAGUUCUUAAUGUUCAGCUAGCCUCCUGACUCCUCUCUAAACAAAUAUAUAGACAUUUAGAAGAGGGGAUGGAAUUUUCAUUUAGUCUCAAGGACACUCUGACAGAAGCUAAAACAGAGCAGGACAGGUUUUGUAGGUGCUGAAAUGUCAGUUAUACUAUUUCCUUAGAUCGAUUAACUAUGAUUCUGUUUUUAAAAUGUCUUUUGAAAAUUCCUUACAGAAAUACACUACUGUUUGUCUCAUUUCUAUUUUCUUAUUGCAUAACCAUACUACCUUACAUUUAUAGCACUUUAAAUUUAUUAUCCCAAGUGAUUUCAAUGUUAUUAUCAACAUUAUUGUGCAACGUUCUUUUGAUUGGUUUAUUCUUCAAAAGGGAAAUUAUUUCUUCAUCCAAUGUUUCCUCCCUGUAUUGCUUAAUGGAAUAAGUAUCAGUUACAU